rnacentral:rRNA from 1 species
GUGGGGAAUCUUGCGCAAUGGGCGAAAGCCUGACGCAGCCAUGCCGCGUGAAUGAUGAAGGUCUUAGGAUUGUAAAAUUCUUUCACCGGGGACGAUAAUGACGGUACCCGGAGAAGAAGCCCCGGCUAACUUCGUGCCAGCAGCCGCGGUAAUACGAAGGGGGCUAGCGUUGCUCGGAAUUACUGGGCGUAAAGGGCGCGUAGGCGGACAGUUUAGUCAGAGGUGAAAGCCCAGGGCUCAACCUUGGAAUUGCCUUUGAUACUGGCUGUCUUGAGUACGGGAGAGGUGAGUGGAACUCCGAGUGUAGAGGUGAAAUUCGUAGAUAUUCGGAAGAACACCAGUGGCGAAGGCGACUCACUGGCCCGUUACUGAUGCUGAGGCGCGAAAGCGUGGGGAGCAAACAGGAUUAGAAACCCUUGUAGUCC